GCACUGUUUAGGGUGAGCGGCGAGUCAAAUGUUUCUGCUGGAGCAGGCGUGAUGAAUGAUACUGUCUAAUUUGAAUAGUGGUUUCUGCAGGGAAGGCUAUUUGCCUCUUCCGUAUUUCACAGUCCACUUGUAACUUCCGUGUUUCGAAGGCUAUCUUGCUGGGUCAAGCGGUUUAUCACAAUGAGGUCCAUCCCGGAAGAUUUAACGACACUCAUUUCAGAUCUUGAAACCUUUUUAACGGAUGUCCUUAAAGGGGAAAAUUUGAGCAAAAAAGCUAAAGAGAGAAAGGAUGCCUUCAUCAAGCGCAUUAAAGAUGUAAAAACGAGCUACUCUCAAGAGUUCAAGGACAAACGAGAUGAAGAGUUUCCAGAGCCUGAUGAAGCAGAUAACGACGGAGGAUCACUGCAGUCAGAGCAGACUGACAGGGAUGAGGAAAGCGCUUAUGAUGGAGUUCAACAGGCUCCUCCGGUGGCCGCUCAGGAGCUUCAGUCCGUUUUGAAGAGUGGCUACCUGGAGAAGCGAAGAAAGGAUCACAGCUUCUUUGGCAAUGAAUGGCAGAAGAGAUGGUGUGCUUUAAGCAACAACAUCUUCUACUACUAUGGCAGUGAGAAAGAUAAACAGCAGAAGGGAGAGUUUAAUAUAGUCGGAUACACUGUCAAACUGAACAACACCCUGCGGAAAGAUGCAAAGCGAGACUGUUGCUUUGAGGUAUCAGCUCCAGACAAGCGUGUUUAUCAGUUCUGUGCUGCGACUGAGAAAGAUGCGAAAGAGUGGGUGGAGCACAUUGAUUUUCUGAUUAAAGACAUGGGUGGAGUCAUUCCUGAAGAUGAAGAAGAGUAUGAUGACUGCUUAACUGUGUCCCAAUCGUCCAUGCCUGCACCUAUCGAUGAUGACAUUUAUGAAGAACUCCCUGAGGAAGAUACACCCCAGCCUGUUAAACCACCAGUGACCCUGGCCAGCAAACCUGUGACCCUGGCCAACAAACCAUCCACCCCUGUGACAGCAGUGAACAAAAGCACAGACUACGCCAACUACUUCCAGGGCUUGUGGGAUUGUGCUGGAGAUCAUCCGGAUGAGCUGUCCUUUAAACGAGGAGACACCAUCUACGUCCUCAGCAAGGAGUACGACAUGUUUGGCUGGUGGGUGGGGGAGAUGAAAGGGGCCGUCGGAAUCGUGCCUAAGGAGUAUCUCCUGGAACUGUACGUGCUGUAAGCUGUGUUUCCUGAUAAUUUAUUGGAAUGGUGGAAUCUGGAACACCGCAACAUUCCUGAUUGAACUCGUCCAGUCCGUUAAAGACUCCGCACUAAUGAAGGAGCUCAAGGUGGAGAGGAUGUUUCCACUAAGCCACACAUCACACGUCAGUAGCUCACUCUUCUCUCGGUCAGGGAAGGAGAGGACAGGAUGUUAGUGGUGAGAGGAGUGGAGGUAAGACACCUGUCGAGGGAGGUGGGGAUUCAUUAGUAUUCCUUUUACAUUUCCCAUCAGUUCCUGAGCAGAGCGGAGAAAGGAGGGGCACCAUCCGUCUCCUCCACAGAGGUCUACACAGAAGGCUGAAACGGAGAGGCGUGUGAUGUCAUAGAAGAGGUUGAAUAAAGCAUUCAACUGCAUGAAAAGAUUUUGGUGCGGAUGUUGAAUUUCCUCCUCUGUGAAAUGCUUAAUUACCACUUCCUGUCUGAGGACUUUACGGGAUAGUUCAACCAAAAGUGACAAUUCUGUCAUGCAACUUGUAUGACUUUCUAUACUAAUAUUAUAUAAAAUGAAAAACUUAAAGAUAGAAAUUUUGCUUUGGCCACUAAAUGAAAUAAAGUUUAAGCCGGAGAACUAAAAUUACUAAAAUUUACAUUACAUUAUUUUUUAUAAAUAAUUUGCUCUCAUUUUUGUGUACGUCUUUGUUGCUUGUUUAAAGGUUGAGAAUGUGUAUAUUUUAUUUUGUUGCUUUUUUGCAAAUAAGAAAUCCCAAUAAAGUAUAUGAACCAUGAAAAGAAAUCCUAAAACUAAAAUAGAAGUGUUAAAAUAAAAUAAAAAAUGUAUAAAAUUGCUUUUAAAAUUUAAAUAAAAACUGAAAAUACAAAAAUAGAACCUACACCAAAAUAUUAAUUAAUUCUUCAAUAGUACAUAAAAUAACACUGGGACCAAUAAACCAUUCAACCCCAUCGUCUUUCACUGUAUGGACAGAAAGACAUUUUUCUUUUUCAGAAUAUCUUCGUCUGUGUUCCACAUGCAGAAGAAAGUCAGUCAUACAGGUUCGUAAUGACACGAGGGAGUAAAUGAGAAAUAAAACUACCGUUUUAAGACACACCCUGUCAGCAUGAAGGUCCUGUUUUGUAGCGGCUGGGAGGUUUGCGGCAGCAGAUGGGCCGUCCCGCUGUGUGCCUGAUUGAAACACAGAAGCUGGCCUCGACUCAUAACAACAUCACCAGCUCCUGUCAGCUCCAGCCAGGGAACAAAUCAGCCUUCCUGCGGCUCUGCUGCAGGGAACACCACUCUGCUCGGAGGAAAAAGCGAGGCCCGUCCAAGGGCACAAAGGGUCCUUACAUUUUAGGACUGCCUGGCUGUCAGAGGUUAUAAGCGCUGUGCUUGUACCCACAGAUGAUAGUCAUGAAAAUCAAAGCUGGAGGUGCAGAUGGCCAAUCCGUAUGUGGAAAUCCUCUGCAGACUGCACUGUGAAUAUUGAAGUACUGAUUAUAUAAACUGGUCCAAAUAGACUAGUCACGAUUACACGUUUGAAGAUAAACCUCAGGUUAAUGCUUGUUUGAGAAAUCUCAGAGAUCAUUCAAAUGUAUCGUUUCCCAUACUGUUUGCAAAAUGAAUCGUUCUUUGAAUGUUUUCGCUAAUGUCCACAUAAAAAAAAGAAAAGAAGACUACUUCCAAAAACAAUUUGAGAAAAUUCAGUAUGUUAACUUAAUUCUUAAUUCAUUCUUAAAAUGUGUUUUUGCUGGGUAGGUCCUGGUUUUGAGCACAGUGAUGAUGGGUGGCAUUUGUGGUUGAAGAAAGCAGGGUGGAGGGUCUUUGUCUCUUGAGCUGAUGAUAUAGUGAGCUGGAGCUCCGAGCAGAAUGAUAUGAAGCCCACCCUCUGUCCUCUGGGUGACAUUCAAAGGAUCCAUAAAUCCUGCUCUUUAUGGGGCCAGUUUGCCAUAAAUCCCACGACCUAAUUGGAGAUGUAAUGAAUUAUCAUAAUUAGUCAUAGGCGGUUUUACAUUAAAUGGGAGGUGUGUAUGCCACGGGGUGCAGUCCAUCAUGGGGGACGGAAAUCUGUGUUUGUGGACAGCAGAGAUUUCAUCGGAAGUUUCCCCAGCUGUCUAAUCAGAGAUCAGAUGUGCUGUGUGUGUGUGUGUGUUUCUCUCAGACAGAUUCCUAGAUCAUAAUUCAGAACAUUAGCACAUGGUUUUUGCACACAUUCUGCAGACAGGGGGGCAAUCUUACAAUCUUUCUCAGCUUUCAACUAAAUUUGUCUGUGAUGAAAAGCUGUCGUCAAAGACCGUUUUGCUAAAUAUUACCAUUUGAUUUUAUAGGCUAAUAAAUGAUUUGGUUAAUGGAUCUGCACUCCUUCCCCUGCUCUGCUCCGGACAGCUGUAUAUCCUUUUUUACAAUUUGUUGGAAAAAUAUAGGUUUCAUAAAUAAGUGCCACAGAACAAUUAAUAUGGAGUGCAUUCAAUUCUAGAAAUGAUGCUAAACGCUAAUAAUUAAAACAACUGGAAAAGAAGUUUGACGAGUCGAGCUGAAAGUAGAGCAGAGAGUGCAAAGAGGAGAGCAGGUGCCCUUUUGGUUUAACUGCUCAGUUUGGUAAUGAUGCUGUUAAUAUGAGCUAACACUGUAAAAGAAAAUGACAAUUCACGGAUGAAUUGUAUCAUUAUUUGUGUGGAACACAUCUGCAAGACAUGGUCAGGAUUUAGAGGAAAUUAUACUGAAAAUGUUUUAUGUAUUUGUGUGCAUGAAAGUUGAUUAAAGGUUAAGUUAUUAAACGCACAUUUUCAAU